CCCUUAAGACGAGGAUAACGAUUGGAAACAGUUGCUAAGACUGGAUAGGAAAAGUAAAGGCAUCUUUACUUUUUUAAAAGACCUUUUUUGAAGGUAUGCUUAAGGAGGGGCUUGCGACACAUUAGUUAGUUGGCAGGGUAAAGGCCUACCAAGACUAUGAUGUGUAGCUGGACUGAGAGGUUGAACAGCCACAUUGGGACUGAGACACGGCCCAAACUCCUACGGGAGGCAGCAGUAGGGAAUUUUCGGCAAUGGAGGAAACUCUGACCGAGCAACGCCGCGUGAACGAUGAAGUACCUCGGUAUGUAAAGUUCUUUUAUUAAGGAAGAAAAAAGAGUGGAAAAACUCCCUUGACGGUACUUAAUGAAUAAGCCCCGGCUAAUUAUGUGCCAGCAGCCGCGGUAAUACAUAAGGGGCGAGCGUUAUCCGGAAUUAUUGGGCGUAAAGGGUGCGUAGGCGGUUUAAUAAGUCUAUAGUUUAAUUUCAGUGCUUAACGCUGUUGUGCUAUAGAAACUGUUUUACUAGAGUGAGUUAGAGGCAAGCGGAAUUCCAUGUGUAGCGGUAAAAUGCGUAAAUAUAUGGAGGAACACCAGAGGCGUAGGCGGCUUGCUGGGACUUUACUGACGCUGAGGCACGAAAGCGUGGGGAGCAAACAGGAUUAGAUACCCUGGUAGUCCACACCGUAAACGAUGAGUACUAAGUGUCGGGUAAAACCGGUACUGAAGUUAACACAUUAAGUACUCCGCCUGAGUAGUACGUACGCAAGUAUGAAACUUAAAGGAAUUGACGGGACUCCGCACAAGCGGUGGAUCAUGUUGUUUAAUUCGAAGAUACACGAAAAACCUUACCAGGUCUUGACAUUUUCUUGCGAAGUUAUAGAAAUAUAAUGGAGGUUAUCAGGAAAACAGGUGGUGCAUGGUUGUCGUCAGCUCGUGUCGUGAGAUGUUAGGUUAAGUCCUAAAACGAGCGCAACCCUUGUCGUUAAUUGCCAGCAUGUAAUGAUGGGGACUUUAACGAGACUGCCAAUGAAAAAUUGGAGGAAGGUGGGGAUUACGUCAAAUCAUCAUGCCCCUUAUGAUCUGGGCUACAAACGUGAUACAAUGGUUGAUACAAAGAGUAGCUGAAACGCGAGUUCUUAGCCAAUCUCACAAAAUCAAUCUCAGUUCGGAUUGAAGUCUGCAACUCGACUUCAUGAAGUUGGAAUCGCUAGUAAUCGCGAAUCAGCAUGUCGCGGUGAAUACGUUCUCGGGGUUUGUACACACCGCCCGUCAAACCACGAAAGUUGGCAAUACCCCAAA
rnacentral:rRNA from 1 species